rnacentral:rRNA from 1 species
GCUCGAUGAGUAGGGCGGGACACGUGGUAUCCUGUCUGAAUAUGGGGGGACCAUCCUCCAAGGCUAAAUACUCCUGACUGACCGAUAGUGAACCAGUACCGUGAGGGAAAGGCGAAAAGAACCCCGGGAGGGGAGUGAAAAAGAACCUGAAACCGUGUACGUACAAGCAGUGGGAGCCCCACCACCAAAGCAUUCUCUGGUGUUGAAGGCCCUGCAAAGCAGCAUCGCGGUGGCGGAGCGUCGUUUGCGACGCCCAACACACAAAACAAGCGGUGAAUGCUUUGGGGUGGGGUGACUGCGUACCUUUUGUAUAAUGGGUCAGCGACUUAUAUUCUGUAGCAAGGUUAACCGAAUAGGGGAGCCGGAGGGAAACCGAGUCUUAAUUGGGCGUUAAGUUGCAGGGUAUAGACCCGAAACCCGGUGAUCUAGCCAUGGGCAGGUUGAAGGUUGGGUAACACUAACUGGAGGACCGAACCGACUAAUGUUGAAAAAUUAGCGGAUGACCUGUGGCU